rnacentral:rRNA from 1 species
AGAGUUUGAUCCUGGGCUCAGAACGAACGCUGGCGGCGUGGAUUAGGCAUGCAAGUCGAACGAGGAUAUAUCCUUCGGGAUAUAAGCCGAGUGGCGGAAGGGUGAGUAAUGCACAGACAACCUGCCUUUAGGAUAAGAAUAACUCUGUGAAAGCGGAGCUAAUACUUAAUAAUACAAAGAAAAGGUUCUUUUCUUUGUCAAAAAAGGGUAUUUAUACCUUUUGCCUAGAGAGGGGUUUAUGUCCUAUCAGCUUGUUGGUGGGGUAACGGCCUACCAAGGCGAAGACGGGUAACCGGCCUUAGAGGGUAGUCGGUCACACUGGAACUGAGACACUGUCCAGACUUCUACGGAAGGCUGCAGUCGAGAAUCUUUCGCAAUGCCCGAAAGGGUGACGAAGCGACGCCGCGUGGAUGAAGAAGGCCUUCGGGUUGUAAAAUCCUGUCAGGAGUUAAGAAAUAUAAGUUUGAUAAUACCAAAUUUAUUUGACAAAGGCUCCAGAGGAAGCCACGGCUAACUCUGUGCCAGCAGCCGCGGUAAUACAGAGGUGGCAAGCGUUGUUCGGAAUUAUUGGGCGUAAAGAGCACGUAGGUGGAUUUGUUAGUCAGAUGUGAAAGCCUUUCGUUCAACGGAAGAAUUGCAUCUGAAACUACAAACCUUGAGUAUAGGAGGGGAGAGUGGGAACUUCUGGUGGAGCGGUGAAAUGCGUAGAUAUCAGAAGGAACGCCGGCGGCGAAAGCGACUCUCUGGCCUAUAACUGACACUGAGUGUGCGAAAGCUAGGGGGAGCAAACGGGAUUAGA